rnacentral:rRNA from 1 species
AACGAACGCUGGCGGCAUGCCUAACACAUGCAAGUCGAACGAGACCUUCGGGUCUAGUGGCGCACGGGUGCGUAACGCGUGGGAACCUGCCCUUAGGUUCGGAAUAACUCCCCGAAAGGGGUGCUAAUACCGGAUAAUGUCUUCGGACCAAAGAUUUAUCGCCUUUGGAUGGGCCCGCGUUGGAUUAGCUAGGUGGUAGGGUAAAAGCCUACCAAGGCGACGAUCCAUAGCUGGUUUGAGAGGAUGAUCAGCCACACUGGGACUGAGACACGGUCCAGAAUCCUACGGGAGGCAGCAGUGGGGAAUAUUGGAAAAUGGGCGAAAGCCUGAUCCAGCAAUGCCGCGUGAGUGAUGAAGGCCUUAGGGUUGUAAAGCUCUUUUACACGGGAUGAUAAUGACAGUACCGGGAGAAUAAGCUCCGGCUAACUCCGUG